rnacentral:rRNA from 1 species
AUUUAUUUAAAUUUAUUAAAUAUUUAUUUUGUAAUUGAUUGUAAUUGAAAUAUCUGGUUAUUAGUAUUUAAUAAAGAAAUAUUAUUGUUUAUGAUAGAUUAAAGUACUGUGGGGGAAAGUUAAAGUAAUUUUAUAAGAAAGUUUAAUUUGUUGUAUCUUGUGUAUCAGAGUUUAUUAAAAUAUUAUUUAAAUAAAUAUUUCUCGAAUCAAUAAGAGUAAUUUUUAUAUAAUUUUUAUUGUUAAAUAAAUACUUAUAAUAUAAUUAUAGUAAUGAAACGUUAGUCGUUUUUUGAUAUAUCUAGUUUUUUAAUAUAAAAUUCAAUUUUAUUUUUUAAUAUUAAUUGAGCUAAUUUUGCUUUAUUAGUUUAAAAAUUUUAUGGUUUGGGGGAUAAGCUCUUAAUUAUUUUAAAUAUAAAAUUUUAUUUAUUUUUUAUUUGUAGGAUUAAAAUUUUCUAUCAGUUGGAGGAUGUUAUAGUUAAUAAAGUUUAGUAAAUUAUUUAUUUGUUUGUUUUUAUAUUUAUAUUAAAAUAUUAGUUUUAAUUUAAUUAAUUAAGAAAUAAUGAUAGAAUUAGUAAAAUUUAUUGUUUGUUUAUAUUUAAAUUUAAAAUAUAUUUAAUGAACUCGGCAAAUAUUUCUCUUACCUGUUUAAUAAAAACAUGUCCUUUAGAUUUAUGAUUUAAGGUCGGGCCUGCUCAAUGAUUUUUAAAUAGCUGCAGUAUUUUGACUGUACAAAGGUAGCAUAAUCAUUAGUUUUUUAAUUGAGAACUAGAAUGAAUGGUUUUAUAAGGAGAAUACUUUAUUAUGUUUAAUAAUUGAAUUUUAUUUUUAAGUUAAAAAGCUUAAAUAUUUCAAAAAGACGAGAAGACCCUAUAGAGUUUUACUUAAUUUAUUAAAUUUAAUAUUAAGAUUAGAUUGUAGGUUUUAUUAAUUAAGUUUUGUUGGGGUGACAUUAAAAUUUAAAAAACUUUUAAUUAUUAAAUAUUAAUUAAUAAAUGUUUGAUCCUUUAUUUAAGAUUAAAAGAUUAAAUUACCUUAGGGAUAACAGCGUAAUUUUUUCAAAGAGUUCUAAUCGAAGAAAAAGAUUGCGACCUCGAUGUUGGAUUAAGAUUGUCUUUGGGUGUAGAAGUUUAAAAGUUUAGUCUGUUCGACUAUUAAAAUCUUACAUGAUCUGAGUUUAAACCGGCGUGAGCCAGGUUGGUUUCUAUCUUUUGUUUAUUAAUUAUUUUAGUACGAAAGGACCAAUUAAUUGGACAAUGUCUUUAUUAGAUUUA